AGUCUGAUAAAGCAUGCUAGUUGCACGAGUUCAUACUCGUGGCGAAAAGCUCAGUAACACGUGGCCAAACUACCCUACAGAGAACGAUAACCUCGGGAAACUGAGGCUAAUAGUUCAUACGGGAGUCAUGCUGGAAUGCCGACUCCCCGAAACGCUCAGGCGCUGUAGGAUGUGGCUGCGGCCGAUUAGGUAGACGGUGGGGUAACGGCCCACCGUGCCGAUAAUCGGUACGGGUUGUGAGAGCAAGAGCCCGGAGACGGAAUCUGAGACAAGAUUCCGGGCCCUACGGGGCGCAGCAGGCGCGAAACCUUUACACUGCACGCAAGUGCGAUAAGGGGACCCCAAGUGCGAGGGCAUAUAGUCCUCGCUUUUCACGACUGUAAGGCGGUCGAGGAAUAAGAGCUGGGCAAGACCGGUGCCAGCCGCCGCGGUAAUACCGGCAGCUCAAGUGAUGACCGAUAUUAUUGGGCCUAAAGCGUCCGUAGCCGGCCACGAAGGUUCAUCGGGAAAUCCGCCAGCUCAACUGGCGGGCGUCCGGUGAAAACCACGUGGCUUGGGACCGGAAGGCUCGAGGGGUACGUCCGGGGUAGGAGUGAAAUCCCGUAAUCCUGGACGGACCACCGAUGGCGAAAGCACCUCGAGAAGACGGAUCCGACGGUGAGGGACGAAAGCUAGGGUCUCGAACCGGAUUAGAUACCCGGGUAGUCCUAGCUGUAAACGAUGCUCGCUAGGUGUGACACAGGCUACGAGCCUGUGCUGUGCCGUAGGGAAGCCGAGAAGCGAGCCGCCUGGGAAGUACGUCCGCAAGGAUGAAACUUAAAGGAAUUGGCGGGGGAGCACUACAACCGGAGGAGCCUGCGGUUUAUUUGGACUCAACGCCGGACAUCUCACCAGCUCCGACUACAGUGAUGACGAUCAGGUUGAUGACCUUAUCACGACGCUGUA
rnacentral:rRNA from 1 species